UGCAAGAACUCUUCUUGGUUAUGAUGCUUUU
rnacentral:piRNA from 1 species